rnacentral:rRNA from 1 species
UACGGAGGGCGCGAGCGUUAAUCGGAAUUACUGGGCGUAAAGAGCGCGUAGGCUGUUGUGUAAGUUGGGGGUGAAAUCCCACGGCUCAACCGUGGAACAGCCCUUGAUACUGCGCGACUUGAAUCCGGGAGAGGGUGGCGGAAUUCCAGGUGUAGGAGUGAAAUCCGUAGAUAUCUGGAGGAACAUCAGUGGCGAAGGCGGCCACCUGGACCGGUAUUGACGCUGAGGCGCGAAAGCGUGGGGAGCAAACAGG